ACCUUAGAGACCAACUAAGUUUGUUCUUGGUAUGAGCUUUUGUGUGCAUGCACACUUCUUCAGAUACGAAAGCUCAUACCAAGAACAAACUUAGUUGGCCUCUAAGGU